rnacentral:rRNA from 1 species
GACGUAGGAGGCGAGCGUUAUCCGGAUUCACUGGGCGUAAAGCGCAUGUAGGCGGUUGGACAAGUCGUGUGUUAAAGCCCCUGGCUCAACUGGGGGAGGUCAUUCGAGACUGUGCGACUUGAGGGCAAGAGAGGCACGUGGAACUCCCGGUGUAGCGGUGGAAUGCGUAGAGAUCGGGAAGAACACCAGUGGCGAAGGCGACGUGCUGGGUUGCACCUGACGCUGAGAUGCGAAAGUGUGGUGAGCAAACGGG